rnacentral:piRNA from 1 species
UCUUAAAGCUUGAAAAUUGUGUUGCAG